GGUGAACGCUGGCGGCGUGCCUAAUACAUGCAAGUCGAGCGAAUGGAUUAAGAGCUUGCUCUUAUGAAGUUAGCGGCGGACGGGUGAGUAGCACGUGGGUAACCUGCCCAUAAGACUGGGAUAACUCCGGGAAACCGGGGCUAAUACCGGAUAACAUUUUGAACCGCAUGGUUCGAAAUUGAAGGCGGCUUCGGCUGUCACUUAUGGAUGGACCCGCGUCGCAUUAGCUAGUUGGUGAGGUAACGGCUCACCAAGGCAACGAUGCGUAGCCGACCUGAGAGGGUGAUCGGCCACACUGGGACUGAGACACGGCCCAGACUCCUACGGGAGGCAGCAGUAGGGAAUCUUCCGCGAUGGACAAAAGUCUGACGGAGCAACGCCGCGUGAGUGAUGAAGGCUUUCGGGUCGUAAAACUCUGUUGUUAGGGAAGAACAAGAGCUAGUUGAAUAAGCUGGCACCUUGACGGUACCUAACCAGAAAGCCACGGCUAACUACGUGCCAGCCGCCGCGGUAA
rnacentral:rRNA from 1 species